CAACCCUUCAAACUGGGUUUGCCUACACCGCCACUGAUCUUCAUCUCCGCCGACGCUGAUCAUCGUUUCUUUAAUCGGACGAUUCCAAAAACCGGGUACACAUGCACCCACCCUUUUACAACCGAUAACCAUCGCUUGCCCCAAAUCCAGGUACGACGAUAAACAUCACAUCCAGAUCCGGCGAAAACCAUCUCGAAAUCGAUAGCGGCAACUAAGGUAAUCCCUUUCUUUCCUGAAGCGCAGCAGGUACCGACAUCGUCUCCCACAUCGGUUAACCACCAUCGUCACCACAAUCACCGUCGCUCGCUACGUGUAAAACCCUAGCCUUGCCCAGCACCUGCCCUAAUCGAACACUAGGGCGUCGGAAUCAUCAUCACCCAAUCGGGUAUAACAACAACAGGAACCUGCUGUUGGAAUGCACCAAAUUUACAGAUUCUAGGUCUAAGCAUUUGCAUGAGGGAAAGACGGAGUUUUUGGCUGAGUUGUCGAUUAUGGCAUGUGAUAAGAAUCUUGUCCUACUCCAAGGAUGGUGUGUCGAAAAAGGCAAGUAUAUGUCGUAUGGGAGUAUUGAUUAAGUGGUGUUGUAUCGAGAGUCUGGACAUUGGUGGUUCUUGAAAUGGAACCAUAGGUAUAAUAUUGAGGUUAGGUUGGCUUCGGUUUUGGCGUACCUUCAUCAGUAGUGCGAUCAAAAAGUGAUCCAUCGCGAUAGUAAAUCGAGUAAUAUGAUGCUAAUUUUAAUUCUCGGUUAGGUGAUUUCGGGCUGGCCUAGAUCAUGGACCAUGAUAAAAGCAUGGUCUCUACACUAAUUGCGGGGACGAUGGGUUAUUUAGUGCCCGAGUAUCUUCAAUACGGGAGAGCUACUGAUGAAACCAAUGUUAUCAGCGCUACAGUGUGGUGCAUCUAGAACUCUGUUGUGCGAGGAGACCAGUUGAGAGGGAGCCAGGGGGUCAUAAAAUGAUCAAUUUAGUGGCUUGGGUGUAGGAGUUGCACUCCAAAAGCGCCAUUUGUGACCACUGACCCGGUUGACAAGCCGUUGAACAAAGAGUUUGAUCCGAAUGUGAGAGUUUCAUUUUCUGAUCCGGUGGCUGACACUCUUUGGAGAUUAUUUCUGAGCUACCUACAAAAGAUCCUUAUGCUUUUGCUAUUGCUUUAGGAACUCCAAAGGAUUUUUUGCAUUGCUUGACGUGCUUGCUUCAGCGGGUCUGGCUAGAUUGUGCCACGCAAUAUCUAGAGCUAAGUAACGGGAUGGCGUGUGUUGAUAUUGUAGGUACUUGAACUUUAUGGUGUACAAAAUAGCAUCUGAUUUGGGUCAAAUCGAUACAGGUAAGAAAAUAAGAAAAGCCACUGUAAAACAAAAUUCCACAAUACUUGGUAUAUAUUGUUGUUUGUUUCUGUCUUUCGAAGUUAUCACUGGCUGUAUGCGAAACUGUUAGUUAUCUGUACCAGCCACUGGCGAU